GUUAAUCAAGUAGCCAAGAAGACAUGGAUGCAUGGUAGUAGCACAUAUGGAAAAUGUAAGCAUUCAUUGAGGCAGGGGGAGGGGUAAGAGAGCAAAUAAGUAAAAUGUAUAGACAACAUAUUGGGGAAAGUAAUCAGACAUGGUUGUAAAAUAAGGGUUUAAUUCUUACUGUACCAAACCCCAAAUAUAAUCAACCUCAGGGAGAAGUUUCAGGGCU
rnacentral:lncRNA from 1 species